AUGGUGCUGCUGGUUCCACCAAUAAAGGAGGGACGAAAGGCUAUGGAGCCACAGCUGGUGUAAUCAAUGGACAAGGUGGCAAACCACAGGGCUACGGAGCACAAGCUGGAGGAUAUGAUGGACAAGGAACUAAAGGCAAUGGU